GCAAGUCGAACGGUGAAGCCCAGCUUGCUGGGUGGAUCAGUGGCGAACGGGUGAGUAACACGUGAGCAACCUGCCCCUGACUCUGGGAUAAGCGCUGGAAACGGCGUCUAAUACUGGAUACGAGACGUGACCGCAUGGUCAACGUUUGGAAAGAUUUUUCGGUUGGGGAUGGGCUCGCGGCCUAUCAGCUUGUUGGUGAGGUAAUGGCUCACCAAGGCGUCGACGGGUAGCCGGCCUGAGAGGGUGACCGGCCACACUGGGACUGAGACACGGCCCAGACUCCUACGGGAGGCAGCAGUGGGGAAUAUUGCACAAUGGGCGAAAGCCUGAUGCAGCAACGCCGCGUGAGGGACGACGGCCUUCGGGUUGUAAACCUCUUUUAGCAAGGAAGAAGCGAAAGUGACGGUACUUGCAGAAAAAGCGCCGGCUAACUACGUGCCAGCAGCCGCGGUAAUACGUAGGGCGCAAGCGUUAUCCGGAAUUAUUGGGCGUAAAGAGCUCGUAGGCGGUUUGUCGCGUCUGCUGUGAAAUCCCGAGGCUCAACCUCGGGUCUGCAGUGGGUACGGGCAGACUAGAGUGCGGUAGGGGAGAUUGGAAUUCCUGGUGUAGCGGUGGAAUGCGCAGAUAUCAGGAGGAACACCGAUGGCGAAGGCAGAUCUCUGGGCCGUAACUGACGCUGAGGAGCGAAAGGGUGGGGAGCAAACAGGCUUAGAUACCCUGGUAGUCCACCCCGUAAACGUUGGGAACUAGUUGUGGGGUCCAUUCCACGGAUUCCGUGACGCAGCUAACGCAUUAAGUUCCCCGCCUGGGGAGUACGGCCGCAAGGCUAAAACUCAAAGGAAUUGACGGGGACCCGCACAAGCGGCGGAGCAUGCGGAUUAAUUCGAUGCAACGCGAAGAACCUUACCAAGGCUUGACAUACACGAGAACGCUGCAGAAAUGUAGAACUCUUUGGACACUCGUGAACAGGUGGUGCAUGGUUGUCGUCAGCUCGUGU
rnacentral:rRNA from 1 species